CCUACGGGGGGCUGCAGUGGGGAAUUUUCCGCAAUGGGCGAAAGCCUGACGGAGCAAGACCGCGUGAGGGAAGACGGUCUGUGGAUUGUAAACCUCUUUUGAUAGGGAAGAAGAACUGACGGUACCUAUCGAAUCAGCCUCGGCUAACUCCGUGCCAGCAGCCGCGGUAAUACGGAGGAGGCAAGCGUUAUCCGGAUUUAUUGGGCGUAAAGCGUCCGUAGGUGGAUAGUCAAGUCUGCUGUCAAAGGGUGGAGCUUAACUCCAUAACGGCGGUG
rnacentral:rRNA from 1 species